UUAAUUCAUAUUUGUAUGGAAUGGGGUCGUUUGCGUACGUUUGUCGCUAGGGGCGCUGUUCCAAUUGCAUACAAAAAUGGCCUA
rnacentral:pre_miRNA from 1 species